rnacentral:lncRNA from 1 species
UUGUUUACCAAAACAGAUUUCCCUCUCUCUGGUUUAAUUCCAUCCGCCAUUGUCGAUUGCACUGUUUCAGAUCGAGAAAUUCAUCCGCCAUAUUUUCUGUCCUACGGUUGUAUCAAAGACCAAAACCCUCUACAAAACCAUUUUCUCUCUCUGUCUGCUUCAAGUUCAUCCGCCAUUUCCGAACCUCUGCAAAGUUUUCUCAAUCCACCAUAGUCCCUAUCAUUAAAAUCGUAUCCAUAGUCAAAAAUGGUGAAAAAAGCUAGUACUCCCAAAAGACAAAAAGUAGCCGAUAUUCCAUCUUUUGAUUUGGGUGUUUUACACCCUAAAUCACCAGUAAAAAAAACAACAAUCUAUCCAUGCAAGUGGAAAAGAUAGGGUUCCUACAUCGCCAAGAUAAAUCAGAGCUGAAAUGUGAACCAAGCACUUGCACGAUGUUGAUGCUACCGGUGUAGAAACAGAAGGCGACAAAUAACGCAAGCGAAAGGGUUGAGGGUCGAUGAUGAUGAUUUUGUGGAAGAUUCACCCAAACUUCAAACCACGAAAAAACAA